ensembl:lncRNA novel transcript, antisense to HMGB1
GAGGCGGGAGAGGCAGAGGCAGAGGCAGCAGCUGCUACGGGAAAGCAGAGCUCUAUGGUGUAUGUGUGCAUGUGUCUAACCCAAGCCAGCCCCACACCGGAGCGGCCGCCGGAGCGAAAAGGGCCUGACUUUUCCACAAGUGUCUCCAACUCCUCAGGCAAAAGAGACACCCACAGGUUAUGGCUGUAUUGCCCAGGCUGGAGUGCAGUGCAGUGGCAUGAUCACGGCUCACUGCAGCCUUGACUUUCUGGGACUGAAGCCAUCCUCCCACCUCAGCUUCCUGGGAAGCCAGGACUACAGAGAUGGGGUCUCACUAUGUUGCCCAGGCUCAAGGGAUCCUCCUGCCUCAGGCUCCUGAAUAGCUGGAACUACAGGAGACCACUGCACUCAGCUAGGGAUUUUUUGAUGGAGAAAAAAAAAACACACAGAUGAGAUUAGAAGAAGAUCUGCUACAGCAACAGAAAAAGAGAAUGCCAAGAAGGGGAAGAGUGAAGGCUGGAGAGCGGAAGCCAAUGCCAAAACAUUCCGAAGCUACCCAACAUCUAAGAAAGGUGGCCUGAGGGAGAUUGCAAGCACUAACCGCUAAACGCUAAAUGAAGGGUUAGAUCUUAUCUAUGUCCAGAAGGAGUAAUAAGAAAGAAUGCGUAUCUCCAAAAGCUGAAAGAUUUGGACAGGACCCAAGGCGGAGGCCUGGCAUUUUUCUAAAUUGAGAUGCCAAUCCCAUCAUACCUUAGGACUAUAAGAUUCAAGGAUGAAGACUGGCUCCCCCGGUGGGGCAAAAUCAGUGGAUGGGACACAACACAUCUGCCAUCAUGAUGAAAACAGUAAACCUCUACUGAGGCUCCACUCUUGAAGCGUGCCUCUGUCAGACCCUAGUUAUCCAAGGCUGGUGCUCAAGGGAAAAAGGACGCAGUCUUGGAAGGCCAGGAAGCUUCUGUCUUACUCAUUAGCCUGAUAUGCCAGCUCCAUGUAGGUAUUCUUAAGUCUUUCUUUUUUUUUUCUUUUGAAAUGGAGUCUUGCUCUGUCACCAGUGCAGUGGUGCCUCUUGGCUCACCACAACCUCCGCCUCCCAGGUUCAAGCGAUUCUCCUGCCUCAGCCUCCUGAGUAUCUGGGACUACAGGUGUGUGCCACCACGCCCAGCUAAUUUUUGUAUUUUUAGUAGAAACGGGGUUUCACCAUAUUGGCCAGGCUGGUCUUGAACUCCUGAUCUCAAGUGAUCUGCCUGCCUCGAGGUAUUCUUAGUCUUAAAUGUGCUACUGUAGACACAUAUUAUUGUCACAUAGGUUAAUAUUUCUCUUGGAGAAAGAACUGAGGCAGGACACCUGAAGGUACUCUUUCAGGCAACAUUUUCACUUAGGAAAGUUCUAAAUUGAGUUUGUAUCAUUCCGUGUCCCUCCUCCUCUCCCUUUCUCUUUUCUCUUCCCUUCUCUCAUUGUCCGAAAGAUUAAAUAAAACAAAAA